rnacentral:rRNA from 1 species
GUAGGGGGCAAGCGUUGUCCGGAUUUAUUGGGCGUAAAGAGCGUGUAGGCGGCCAGUUAGGUCCGUUGUGAAAACUCGAGGCUCAACCUCGAGACGCCGAUGGAAACCAACUGGCUAGAGUCCGGAAGAGGAGAGUGGAAUUCCCGGUGUAGCGGUGAAAUGCGCAGAUAUCGGGAAGAACACCCGUGGCUAAGGCGGCUCUCUAGUACGGUACUGACGCUGAGACGCGAAAGCGUGGGGAGCGAACAGGAUUAGAUACCCUGGUAGUCCACGCCGUAAACGAUGGGUGCUAGGUGUGGGGGGUGUCGACUCCCUCCGUGCCGAAGCUAACGCAUUAAGCACCCCGCCUGGGGAGUACGGCCGCAAGGCUA